GAAGAGGUGGGUGACGGGAGGUAGAGUAUGGAGUCUAGUGCGGUGAUCUGAUUCAAUUCUGCAGCGCGGAGAGGGCACUCCGGGCUGCUUGGGAAGGCAGCUGGCCCCUGGAUAAGGCUCUGCCGGGCUCCCUGUGCACUUCUCCUGGCGAGCAAGCUCGGGGACUGGAGGUGUGAACAGGCGAGGCUCUGUCCUCAGACCCAAAUCCUGGCAAAGGCGCUUCUUCCACAUGAUCCAAGAAGCACGCCUCUUUUUAUGCAUGAAUCCACUGACCCAGGAAGAGGCAAUCCCUGUGGGGUCAGACAAGGCCCUAGAUGUGAAAGCACUGGAAUACAGAAAAUCACGGAGCUGCUGUCUGGUUUCUGGGACAGUUUCCUUUCAAGCCUGGAGCUGCUGGGACCUCAAUGACGUGGCCUCCAGCCCGGCAACCUGAGCAGCCUCUCGUAUGAUGCCACCUCCUGCUUCCUCACUGCCCAACCCGGCAGUCCGCCUGACUCUCUGGCCGUUGGUCUCCAGUGCCCUGGAAACAUCCUCACCUUCUACCUCGCCUGUCAAAAGAGCAAGAAGAUCAACACAGCAGGUGUGUACCUGGCUCACCUGGUGGCCCCUGACCUCCUGUUCACACUCGCUCUACUGGAAGGGUCACCUACUAUGUGCGGGACUCCAGCUGGCCUCCACGGAGCAUGACAGUGUCGAGGGAAUCCUCAGGCUGCCCCUCAUGGUCCCAGUGGCCUUGCCAUAAGCAUCUGUGGGCCAGUGGGGAUCAUACUAUCUUGUUCUGUGAAGAUUACCUGGCAGGUGUGCAGGGCAGCCCCGGGAAAACCCUCUGGUGGGCAAGAAGGGAUGCCAUGGGCAGGCCGACCUGCUCACCCUGCUGGUGCAGGUGGCUGUGCUUGUGUGCUCUGGCCUCUGCCACCUCAACAUCAUCCAGUUCAUGGCGACGGGGGUGCUCUGCCCUCGGGGGAUGCCCGGAGCACAAGGCUUUUGGACUGUCCCUGUAGUUCACCACGCCACUCAGUGAACUGUGGCAUUGACUCCAUCAGUGACUUCUUUGCAUCUACACAUUACAGGAGAUGGCUCCUCAGCAUUUGAAAACUCAGAGUGUCAGCAUCCUCCUCCUCUUCCUUCCAGGCAAAUAAGGUCUAGGGUCACCUGGGUGGCUCAGUUGGUGAAGCGUCUGCAUGAUCUCAGGGUCCUAGGAUUGAGUCCCGCGU